rnacentral:rRNA from 1 species
CGGAUGAGUGGCAGCUUGUCUCCAUGAUUCAGCGGCGGACGGGUGAGUAAUGCCUAGGAAUCUGCCUGGUAGUGGGGGACAACGUUUCGAAAGGAACGCUAAUACCGCAUACGUCCUACGGGAGAAAGCAGGGGACCUUCGGGCCUUGCGCUAUCAGAUGAGCCUAGGUCGGAUUAGCUAGUUGGUGAGGUAAUGGCUCACCAAGGCGACGAUCCGUAACUGGUCUGAGAGGAUGAUCAGUCACACUGGAACUGAGACACGGUCCAGACUCCUACGGGAGGCAGCAGUGGGGAAUAUUGGACAAUGGGCGAAAGCCUGAUCCAGCCAUGCCGCGUGUGUGAAGAAGGUCUUCGGAUUGCAAAGCACUUUAAGUUGGGAGGAAGGGCAUUAACCUAAUACGUUAGUGUUUUGACGUUACCGACAGAAUAAGCACCGGCUAACUUCGUGCCAGCAGCCGCGGUAAUACGAAGGGUGCAAGCGUUAAUCGGAAUUACUGGGCGUAAAGCGCGCGUAGGUGGUUUGUUAAGUUCAAUGUGAAAGCCCCGGGCUCAACCUGGGAACUGCAUCCAAAACUGGCAAGCUAGAGUAUGGCACAGGGUGGUGGAAUUUCCUGGUGGUAGCCGCGGUGAAAUGCGUAGAUCUUNGAAGGGAACCCCCA